rnacentral:lncRNA from 1 species
UGGCUGCCGUUCUGGGGUCCUGUCCCCCAAAAGAGGCCGAGGAGGGCGGCGGUGGGGUUGAAUCUGAGGCCGAGAAAGCAGCCUCUCCAUCCCCCGAGCCAGGCUCCUUCCUUCCCCCAGUCUUCCCUGCCUGCCACGUUCCUUGCAUAUGGGGAGAAACAUGGCUACCCAGCAAGGCCAAGAAGGAGCCCCGCGCCUUCCUGAUCCCGCCUCCGAUGUCCAGAAGAAGGAAUCUGAUUGGUCCUGCCUGGGUCAUGUGCUUGCCGCAUCCAAUCAGCUACAGAGAAGCCAUCCGGCAGAGCAAGAGGAGCUGUAAGGGGCUAGCAAGGCUGGGGCGUCUGAACAAAUCACCUAAGCCCUACCCAGCAUGCUCUGCGGCGGCACGGGCUGGGUCCGGUUCGGCCCUCAAGCCCUGUUGGAGAGAAACGAAAAAUGCGAGAGAUAGAGAAUAUUCUUGUGGAGGGUCAGGGGACCCCAGCGAAAGGGAACCCGAAGUAACUCCAACUCCCAGAUUUAUUGAGGAACAACAAAGUCAUCGAGCUCUGUUGAGUGCAGAUGUUUGGUUCAGGUAGCAAGGCAGGGCAGCAAGGCACGGUGACAGUUUGGCUGAAUAAUUAACUUUCAUCUGGUUGUCUUCCCCUCGGGAGCGUCCUUGUUUUCCCCAUCCCUUCUGGAGUUGGCAAAACAUCCCGUCUUCAAGGUGUUCCAGCUCCUCAGAGUUAGCAGCCCCCGCCCCCAGUCAACCCCAGCAGACAUUGACCACUGGGUGUCGUGAGGAACUCCACACCCCGGCUGGGUGCAGCUCAGGGGGAGCACUGGACCCACGCCCCCACCCCCGCAACACAGUUGUAAUAAACAAUGUGGAGGCUUGGGCUUACUGGUCCACUCAGGAGGCUGAGGCAGGGGGAUCACCAUGAGUUGGAGGCCAGCCUGGGCUACAUAGCAGAGUUCAAGUCUAGCCUGAACUGCGCAGCGAGACCCUGACUCAAACAAAGGAGUCUCUGUAAUGAGACCCUCCAGGAUGAAGUCCUGUUGGUCUCCUGCUGUCACUUGGUAUUGUUAUUUUGAGAU